rnacentral:rRNA from 1 species
UACGUAGGGUGCGAGCGUUAAUCGGAAUUACUGGGCGUAAAGCGAGCGCAGACGGUUACUUAAGCAGGAUGUGAAAUCCCCGGGCUCAACCUGGGAACUGCGUUCUGAACUGGGUGACUAGAGUGUGUCAGAGGGAGGUAGAAUUCCACGUGUAGCAGUGAAAUGCGUAGAGAUGUGGAGGAAUACCGAUGGCGAAGGCAGCCUCCUGGGAUAACACUGACGUUCAUGCUCGAAAGCGUGGGUAGCAAACAGGAUUAGAUACCCCCGUAGUCC